UACGUAGGCAGCAAGCGUUGUUCGGAAUUACUGGGCGUAAAGAGUGUGUAGGCGGUGCUCCAAGUCUGGUGUGAAAUCUCCCGGCUUAACUGGGAGGGUGCAUUAGAAACUGGAAUGCUAGAGGAUGGGAGAGGUAAGCGGAAUUACCUGGUGUAGCGGUGAAAUGCGUAGAUAUCAGGAGGAACACCUGUGGUGUAGACAGCUUACUGGACCAUUUCUGACGCUGA
rnacentral:rRNA from 1 species